rnacentral:rRNA from 1 species
AACGAACGCUGGCGGUAUGCCUAACACAUGCAAGUCGCACGAGAAAGUACUUCGGUAUGAGUAGAGUGGCGCACGGGUGAGUAACACGUAGGUGACCUUCCGAAUAGUGGGGGAUAACUCGGAGAAAUCCGGGCUAAUACCGCAUAUGUACGACAAAUCUGAGAGUAGUCGUAGAAAGAAUGCCUCUACUUGUAAGCAUUCGCUAAUCGAUGGGCCUGCGGAGCAUUAGCUAGUUGGUGGGGUAAUGGCCUACCAAGGCUACGAUGCUUAACGGAUCUGAGAGGAUGAUCCGUCACACUGGAACUGAGACACGGUCCAGACUCCUACGGGAGGCAGCAGUGGGGAAUAUUGCGCAAUGGACGCAAGUCUGACGCAGCAAUACCGCGUGAGUGAGGAAGGCC